GACGAACGCUGGCGGCGUGCUUAACACAUGCAAGUCGAACGGAAAGGCCCUGCUUUCGUGGGGUGCCCGAGUGGCGAACGGGUGAGUAACACGUGAGUAACCUGCCCUUGACUUUGGGAUAACUUCAGGAAACUGGGGCUAAUACCGGAUAGGAGCUCCUGCUGCAUGGUGGGGGUUGGAAAGUUUCGGCGGAUGGGGAUGGACGCGCGGCUUAUCAGCUUGUUGGUUGGGUAGUGGCUUACCAAGGCAUUGGCGGGUAGCCGGCCUGGGAGGGUGACCGGCCACAUUGGGACUGAGAUACGGCCCAGUCUCCUACAGGAGACAGCAGUCGGGAAUAUUGCACAAUGGGCGGACGCCUGAUGCAGCGGCGCCGCGUGCGGGAUGACGGCCUUCGGGUUGUAAACCGCUUUAGCCUGUGACGAAGCGUGAGUGACGGUAAUGGGUAAAGAAGCACCGGCUAACUACGUG
rnacentral:rRNA from 1 species